AAAUUUUGGUUAAAUAAUUGCACUGUUUCAAAGUGUUGGUUUUCUUUUAUUGUUACAGUAGCAAUGCUAUUAAGUGAUUUUGUUUCAGUUAUGUAAUUUUAUUUCCUAUGUGUAUGUUUUUCACAUUUAAACAUGUUCAGGUAGUUGGUCUCAGGUGCUGCACAUUUUGUCCACCAGAGAGCAGUGUUUCAAAGUGAUUACUGUUUCCCAAAACGGGGCAGGAAAUGCAUUUUGUUCUCUUCCGGUGUUGCUAUGCUACGUGAUGAACUUGGACGGGAACCGUAUGUGAUUUAUCUGCAGGUCAUAGUUUCAGCAGAAAAUCGGGAGCCUGUCUGUGCGGUGCAGGGCGGCCAUUUACUGCACGUGAAAAUAAGAUGUCCGAUCAUCGGUGUUCUCCAGUAUUAAGAGUGAACUGAGACAUUACUGUCGAAUGUAAGUGUUGAUAAAAUAAGUCAUAUCACAA